GGAGUUUUGUGGUCCGAAGAGUAUUUUGUUUAGUAGACUGUCACGAUAGUCCGGGCAAAGAGGCUGAAGAAGGGCAGUAGGCAGAUGUUGUCCAGUGUAGCAGGUAAUUUAUUUAUAAAGAAUUGUGACAAAAAAAAGCUAAAUUCUCCUGCUUAAAAAGUCUCAGGCAAGUCAAACAACAAUGGUCUCCAAUGGAAUGUACCAGAUACCAGGGACAGGGACAUCAGGACAGCUCAGCAGCGGUUACACUUCCUGAGGAUAUUCUGGAAGAACAACCUGGACUUCAAACUACUGCUUACUUUCUACCACUUAUCCAUUGGGAGCCUGCUGACCUACUGUGGCAUGGUAAGGCAUGGCAGCUACACUAAGGAGGACAGGGAGAAGGCUUCAGAGGGUGUUCAAGAAGGCACAGAGGAUCACUGGCUGGCCUUUCCCCUCCCUGACCUUCACCUCCUGUUGCCUCAGCAGAGCACACAACAUCACCAAAGACAGCUCACACCUGGGCUUUGGACUGCUUGACCUUUUGCCCUCCAGGAUGUGCUACAGGUGAUUAAAAUUAAACAUCAGCAGGCUAAAGAACAGUUUCUUUCUAAAGGCAGUGAUCCCACAGUACAUAGCACCCCCUUCAUAUUAUGAUUUUCAAUUUUUACUACAGUAAAAAUUGAAAAUCAUGUAAAAUAACAACACACGUGAUAAUUUUACCUUUUUUUACUUUAAACUCAGAUAUUUCUACGUUGCAAAACAACAAAUUUUUAUUUUGUUUUACAUUUGUAUAAUGACAAUAAAAGCAUUCUAUUCUAUUCUAUUCUAUUCUGACCAUAAUGACCAAAUACAGUAACAUUCACU